rnacentral:rRNA from 1 species
GAUGAACGCUGGCGGCGUGCUUAACACAUGCCAGUCGAACGAAGCACUUUAUUUGAUUUCCUUCGGGACUGAUUAUUUUGUGACUGAGUGGCGGACGGGUGAGUAACGCGUGGGUAACCUGCCUUGUACAGGGGGAUAACAGUUGGAAACGGCUGCUAAUACCGCAUAAGCGCACAGUAUCUCAUGAUGCAGUGUGAAAAACUCCGGUGGUGUAAGAUGGACCCGCGUUGGAUUAGCUAGUUGGUGAGGUAACGGCCCACCAAGGCGACGAUCCAUAGCCGACCUGAGAGGGUGACCGGCCACAUUGGGACUGAGACACGGCCCAAACUCCUACGGGAGGCAGCAGUGGGGAAUAUUGCACAAUGGGCGAAAGCCUGAUGCAGCGACGCCGCGUGAGCGAAGAAGUAUUUCGGUAUGUAAAGCUCUAUCAGCAGGGAAGAUAAUGACGGUACCUGAAUAAGAAGCACCGGCUAAAUACGUG